AGAAAAAAAAUGAUGACAUUUACAUACCCACAACUGAGCAAAAAUGCUGAAUUUUUACUUACAUGCACUACCAUCUGACAAAUUUU